rnacentral:misc_RNA from 1 species
GGUUGACUCUCUCUUUGGACCAGAUGCUCGACUUGUGUACAAGACUUAUGCCACACUUCAUAUUUUAUUCAUAUUUGACAGCUCGGAGAAUGAACUUGCAAUGCUUGAUCUCAUGCAAGUUUUUGUGGAGACAAUGGACAGGUGUUUUAGCAAUGUACGUGAACUUGAUAUAGUAUUCAAUUUCAAUAAGGUGCAUGCUAUAUUAGAUGAGAUCAUUUUGG